GACGGGGGGGCAAGUAUUCUUCAGAAUGACUAGGCGUAAAGAGCUCGUAGGCGGUUUGUCGCGUCGGCCGUGAAAUCUCCACGCUUAACGUGGAGCGUGCGGUCGAUACGGGCAGACUUGAGUUCGGUAGGGGAGACUGGAAUUCCUGGUGUAGCGGUGAAAUGCGCAGAUAUCAGGAGGAACACCGGUGGCGAAGGCGGGUCUCUGGGCCGAUGACUGACGCUGAGGAGCGAAAGCGUGGGGAGCGAACAGG
rnacentral:rRNA from 1 species